GACGAACGCUGGCGGCGUGCCUAAUACAUGCCAGUAGAACGCUGAAGGAGGAGCUUGCUUCUCUGGAUGAGUUGCGAACGGGUGAGUAACGCGUAGGUAACCUGCCUGGUAGCGGGGGAUAACUAUUGGAAACGAUAGUUAAUACCGCAUAAGAGUAGAUGUUGCAUGACAUUUGCUUAAAAGGUGCAAUUGCAUCACUACCAGAUGGACCUGCGUUGUAUUAGCUAGUUGGUGGGGUAACGGCUCACCAAGGCGACGAUACAUAGCCGACCUGAGAGGGUGAUCGGCCACACUGGGACUGAGACACGGCCCAGACUCCUACGGGAGGCAGCAGUAGGGAAUCUUCGGCAAUGGACGGAAGUCUGACCGAGCAACGCCGCGUGAGUGAAGAAGGUUUUCGGAUCGUAAAGCUCUGUUGUAAGAGAAGAACGAGUGUGAGAGUGGAAAGUUCACACUGUGACGGUAUCUUACCAGAAAGGGACGGCUAACUACGUG
rnacentral:rRNA from 1 species